GGAUUUGAGGGUGAUCUGGCUGCGACAUCUGUCACCCCGCUGAUCGCCAGGGUUGAUUCAGCUGAUCUGUCUGGCUAGGCGGGUGUCCCCUUCCUCCCUCACUGCUCCAUGUGAUGCACUCAAAGAGGAAGGCCUUCCCCGAAUAGAGACGGACCUGGUAUACGAGGGUAUACGAGGAGCUGUGCUCCCCUGCUAGAACCUCCAAACAAGCUCUCAAGGUCGUUAGUGCUGAUAUCCAGCCCCAGCAAUAACCCUGGCGGCAAAAUAAUGUAUUUGGGAAGGGUGGUGGUUCACCUAGUAGAGUGCACAUAUUACC
rnacentral:snRNA from 1 species